CAGUCGAACGGACUCAUAUUGAAACCUAGUGAUUUAUGAGUUAGUGGCGGACGGGUGAGUAACGCGUGGAUAACCUGCCGUAUACCGGGGGAUAACGCUUAGAAAUAGGUGCUAAUACCGCAUAAGCGCACGGCUCCGCAUGGGGCAGUGUGAAAAACUCCGGUGGUAUACGAUGGAUCCGCGUCUGAUUAGCUAGUUGGCGGGGUAACGGCCCACCAAGGCAGCGAUCAGUAGCCGGCCUGAGAGGGUGGACGGCCACAUUGGGACUGAGACACGGCCCAAACUCCUACGGGAGGCAGCAGUGGGGAAUAUUGCACAAUGGGGGAAACCCUGAUGCAGCGACGCCGCGUGAGUGAAGAAGUAUCUCGGUACGUAAAGCUCUAUCAGCAGGGAAGAAAAUGACGGUACCUGACUAAGAAGCCCCGGCUAACUACGUGCCAGCAGCCGCGGUAAUACGUAGGGGGCAAGCGUUAUCCGGAUUUACUGGGUGUAAAGGGAGCGUAGACGGCAGCACAAGUCUGGAGUGAAAUCCCGGGGCUUAACCCCGGAACUGCUUUGGAAACUGUGCGGCUGGAGUGCAGGAGGGGUAAGCGGAAUUCCUAGUGUAGCGGUGAAAUGCGUAGAUAUUAGGAGGAACACCGGUGGCGAAGGCGGCUUACUGGACUGUAACUGACGUUGAGGCUCGAAAGCGUGGGGAGCAAACAGGAUUAGAUACCCUGGUAGUCCACGCCGUANACGAUGAUUACUAGGUGUCGGGGGNUCAAGGUCCUCCGGUGCCGGCGCA
rnacentral:rRNA from 1 species